rnacentral:lncRNA from 1 species
GUAAAUUAUGAUGAAAAAGUAAAUUAUUCUCCUAGAAUCUGGCAACAGGAUUUCACCCCCCCCCCAACACGCACACAUACUUCAUAGCUUUCAAGGUGUGGCCUGUCUCAGCCUGCUUAGAGAAUGGGGUAAAUCAGAGGUCCCUUUAGAGUAUCUCACUGUUGGAUGUGGAUAGAUGUUGGAUGCGGAUCUCUGAUAGAACUCAGCCUUAAUGUGCCUACCCCAUCCUACUGGAGAAGCUAUAUUGCUGGCAUUACAGAAGUGAACGGUUGCAGUGAAGUUUGCCGAACUGAAAAAAACUACAGUAGCUGCAGGGUUGGCAAGUGUUUGCUACAGGACAAUCAUCUCUGCCAGAGAGCUUGCUUUAGUGAACAUCAUUAGAUACUGCCAAAAUAAACGGUACUGUCUUAUGCUGACGCUCCA